AGUGAAGCCAAGUAGCCCUGGUGACAGGUCUAAAUUCUCCCAUGGAGAAUGGGGUGAGGGCAGGGAUGUAAAUAUCACUGAAUGGAACUGAACAAAAGUGAACCAACAGGACCGCUGGACUCCCAAGUGUCAGACCAGCUGUUUCUAACGUUUCUGCUUGCCUGUCUUUCUGUCUGCCAGCAUGCCUGACUGCCACCUAUCUGUCCGUGUGUCUCUUGGCCUCCCCCACUUCAGCACUCUCCUUACCCUAUCCCCAGGCGCCAUCUAUGCAGAACUGAAGAACACAGCCCCACUCUCACAGUCUUCACAGAUCUCCUCUGACCAUGGAAACCUUUAUCAGGAACUGAAUAUCGAUGAUGGAGGCAGGUCCCACACCAAGCCAGGCUGGCGAUAUGGGGCCUGGGCCUGGAUCCUGGCCGGGUUCGUCGGGAUCUUGUUAGUGUCAGUGACCGUGACCUUGAUUGUGAAAUCUCUCCCGAACUCCCAGACCCAGACAGCUGCCAUCAACUCCAACUUCACCAAUCUGACCACCCUGACCUUCAGGACCCCCCAAAUCACCCAGCCCUCCUGGACCAUCCAGACCUCAGACUGCACCCCAGAAGCUACGUCCUUGACCAGCAGGGAAGGAGGCUGGGAGCCCUUUGGGGGAAGCUGCUACCUCAUUGCCAAGGCCUCACAAGACUGUGGUGGCAAACAACCCAAAUGCAAAGAAUGUUCAGACUGUCACCGGGAGAAACAGUGGACCUGGAACUGCAGCCGACGGGAAUGUUCCCGUGACGGGGCUCACCUUGUGACCAUCGACAGCGGACAGGAGCUGGUGAGGCCGAGAUAG
rnacentral:lncRNA from 1 species